GGACGUCCACGAUCUCUUUCGCCGGCUCGGCGCGGGGGCCAAAUUCGACACGAGACGCUUCUCGGCAGACGCAGCUCGAUUCCAGAUAGGAAAAAGGAAAUAUGACUUUGAUUCUUCGGAGGUGCUUCAGGGACUGGACUUUUUUGGAAACAAGAAGUCUGUCUCAGGUGUGUACAGUGGAGCAUCACAAACACAUCAGAAGCCCCAAAAUGGAGAGAAAAAAGAAGAGAGCCUAACUGAAAGGAAGAGGGAGCAGAGCAAGAAAAAAAGGAAGACGAUGACUUCAGAAAUUACUUCCCAAGAAGAAGGUGCUACUAUACAGUGGAUGUCAUCUGUAGAAGCAAAGAUUGAAGACAAAAAAGUUGAGAGAGAAAGUAAACUAACUUCCGGAAAGUUGGAGAAUCUCAGAAAAGAAAAGAUAAACUUCUUGCGGAAUAAACACAAAAUUCACGUCCAAGGAACCGAUCUUCCUGACCCAAUUGCUACAUUUCAGCAACUUGACCAGGAAUAUAAAAUCAAUUCUCGACUACUUCAGAACAUUCUAGAUGCAGGUUUCCAAAUUCCUACGCCAAUCCAAAUGCAAGCCAUCCCAGUUAUGCUGCAUGGUCGGGAACUUCUGGCUUCUGCUCCAACUGGAUCUGGAAAAACAUUAGCUUUUAGCAUUCCUAUUUUAAUGCAGCUGAAACAACCUGCAAAUAAAGGCUUCAGAGCCCUGAUUAUAUCACCAACACGAGAACUUGCCAGCCAGAUUCACAGAGAGUUAAUAAAAAUUUCUGAGGGAACAGGAUUCAGGAUACACAUGAUCCACAAAGCAGCAGUGGCAGCCAAGAAAUUUGGACCUAAAUCAUCUAAAAAGUUUGAUAUUCUUGUGACUACUCCAAAUCGACUAAUCUAUUUAUUAAAGCAAGAUCCCCCCGGAAUCGACCUAACAAGUGUUGAGUGGCUUGUAGUAGACGAAUCAGAUAAACUGUUUGAAGAUGGCAAAACUGGGUUCAGAGACCAGCUGGCUUCCAUUUUCCUGGCCUGCACAUCCCACAAGGUCCGAAGAGCUAUGUUCAGUGCAACUUUUGCAUAUGAUGUUGAACAGUGGUGCAAACUCAACCUGGACAAUGUCAUCAGUGUGUCCAUUGGAGCAAGGAAUUCUGCAGUAGAAACUGUAGAACAAGAGCUUCUCUUUGUUGGAUCUGAGACUGGAAAACUUCUGGCCAUGAGAGAACUUGUUAAAAAGGGUUUCAAUCCACCUGUUCUUGUUUUUGUUCAGUCCAUUGAAAGGGCUAAAGAACUUUUUCAUGAGCUCAUAUAUGAAGGUAUUAAUGUGGAUGUUAUUCAUGCAGAGAGAACACAACAACAGAGAGAUAACACAGUCCACAGUUUCAGAGCAGGAAAAAUCUGGGUUCUGAUUUGUACAGCCUUGCUAGCAAGAGGGAUUGAUUUUAAAGGUGUGAACUUGGUGAUCAACUAUGACUUUCCAACCAGCUCAGUGGAAUAUAUCCACAGGAUAGGUGAGUUGUCUUUUUUUCCUUCCCCUCUGUCACCCACUGAUCUGUCUUAGGACCCCUGCUAUUCCCUGCGCAUAUGCUCACUUCUUAGUGCUGUGAAAAUCCAGUGACUUUUAUAAAAGAAUUUUGAGAGCCUCCUUCCCCCCAAAAUGUGUUUUUUAAUGGUCUAAUUUUUCUUAGGUCGAACUGGAAGAGCAGGGAAUAAGGGAAAAGCAAUUACAUUUUUCACUGAAGAUGAUAAGCCAUUAUUAAGAAGGUAAAUUAGAAAAAAUAACCUAGUGUUAUUGGCAAAAUUGCUUCAUUAUUCUUAUAUGUAUAUUCAAUUAAGAGAUAAUUACAAAAUGGCUGUGUCCCAAAUUCUACUGAUAAUGGUGUUAGUUGACCAAAUUUUAGCCAUGGGAAAGGAAAAAUGAUCAAAAGGCCUUGUUUUUGCCCUUCCAUUAUUAGAAUUUGGAAAUACAUAUUCAAAAUGGAAUGUUCAUUUUAAGUUUCAGACUCAUAGGACUCUUUCAAUGGUUGAUGUUAGAUUUUAAUGUAGAAGAUGAGUUUCCUGCAUUUUGACUGCCUACAGUAAUUUUUGGUUGAUGAUGAUUAACACUUCACAUUUUUAGCUAAUGAAAUCUAGUUUUGGCCAAAGGGGGUUUGUACUUAGAUCUGUUUAUCAGUUUUGGUAAAUAUUUAGAUUGUGCUUUCUGAGCUUUGGCUCUGCCACCUGUCAGCCUUUGUAUUGCUUUAAGCAGAUUCAGAUGUGCGUGUGUAGGGGGUAUAUUCCAACAGCCUGUCCACCAUAGGCCUCAGCAACUCCAAGCAUGUGAAUCUCAUGACCCAAAUAUUAGUGUAACUAUGCACCUCAGUUUUCCAUCUGUGAAAUGAGGAUAGUGAUAGUAUUUACAAACACAGGCCUGUUGUGAAGAGUGAAGAAGUUACUAUACACAAAAAACUUGGCAACAGUGCCAACCCCAUAGUAGGCACUUUCACUUAAUGAAUUUAAGCUUGACUCUGGCUUCAGUCAGUGCUUCCUCCAAGAUUGAGUUUACCAGCUUUAUAGGGCUUGAUAAAUGUUGAAAUAGCUGCUAUCCAUAGUUAUUCAUCAAUGCAUUAAUUUCAGCCCAGUGGAUAGUUCUAUCUGUAAUCCAAUGUGCUUACAUCAGGUAAUAAUUGAUAAUAUAUCAGAACACUUUGUGGAUUACUUUGUGUAGUUUUAGUUCCCCAUAAGGUUGUACGGAGGGUUUACAUUCAUAAACAUCAAUUUAGCAAAGAUACAAGUUUAUGUUUAUGGGUUUCUUUUUCAGCGUUGCCAAUGUUAUACAGCAGGCCGGGUGUCCUGUACCAGAAUACAUAAAAGGUUUUCAGAAACUACUAAGCAAACAAAAGAAAAAGAUGAUUAAGAAACCAUUGGAAAGGGAGAGCAUUAGUACAACUCCAAAAUGUUUCUUAGAAAAAGCUAAGGAUAAACAGAAAAAGGUCACUGGUCACAACAGCAAGAAGAAAGUAGCUCUUGAAGACAAAAGUUAAAAACAGACUUUAAAAAUACUGUCCCAGAAAUGUAAUUUUAUGAUCCCAGCAUGAAUGUUGUUUUCAUGGAAUACUUGAAGUCUUACAGUCACCUGUACCAAACGUUUGAAAUCAACUACAAGUACAUGGGACUGGUGAUAAAUGAUCCUAAACUAUCAAGUCAAUUUCAAUUUGUAGGUGCCUUUUUUUUUUUUUCCUGUAGAGAUGAGGGUCUCGCCAUGUUGCCCAGACUGGUCUUGAACUCCUGACCUCACACAAUCCUCCUGCCUCAGCCUCCUGAGUAGCUGAGAUUACAGGCACAAGCUGCUGCACCCAGCUCUGUAGGUGACUUUUAAAUGAUUAUACAAUGGAAGUAACAUUCAUUGACAUUUCUGUGGUUUGAAUCCAGAGAGAUACUUCUUAUAGAAGAACAAAUGUUUAUGCUAAAAAUAACACCAAAAUGUGGUGAACUCUUAAGGACUUUUCCCUUCAAGUGUGAAGGAAGGUGUGAUGAAUGCUGUGGAGAGGCAUCUGGAACAGAAAUUCAAAAUAAAGCCUUGACAUU
rnacentral:sRNA from 1 species